rnacentral:lncRNA from 1 species
UUCCCAUCCAUAGGUCGAUGCAACCAUGGUCUACGUUCGCGGGCCUUGCAGUCUUGCGUGAAUGGAGAGCCGGACCAUACAAUAACGUUGUCUGUAACAUUGAGAACAACCGUAUCCUGUGCGGGAGGCCCUGGCUGGGGGGAUAUGGGCCUCGGUGGGGGGGGGAAGGGCACGUGGGGGUUGGAGGUUGGGACGAAGAGGGGGAAUUGGGGGAGAGCGUGGGAUUUUGAGGGUAAGCGUGUGGGGGCUGGGGGAGCGCCUGGGGGCCGGGAGAGCGCGUGGGGCCCGUGUUGGGACUGGGAGAGCAAGUGUGGGAGAGCGCAUGGAGACUGUAGGAGGGGGGGUUGGGAGAAAGCAUGGGAGAAUGAGUGCGGGGGGUUGUGGGCUGGCUGCUGGCUAGCUAUGUGGCUGUAAUAUUGCUAGGGGCUAGGUAGUUUGUGUUAUUGCAGGCUUGCCUAGGUGAAUAGGUUUGGAUGCUGAGAGCUGCAUGCACAUCUUAAGGGCGAAGUGUGAGGUAGGAUGGUGCUUAUAGGCGAUCUGGCAGCCCUUGAGCCUCGGCCCGUUUUUGGGCGGUUUGCAGGUACGGGAACGCACCCACGACCAUGUAACACACAUACACACAUCUUAAGGGCUGCCUUGGCAUGUCAGGUCAUGGUGAAGAUAUGCUCGUGUUGUUGGGACUUGAACCAGUCGGGUGUUGGCUUCCUCGAAGCCUGGAAAAGGGCGGGGUUCCCCUGCAUCCAUGCAGGCCGUUAGCUAUGGCGGCACGUGUGACAAUUGAUGUGUCAACGUGGUGGGAACUGUGCUUGUUGCAGCAGUACUGAUGCUGUGGGAGCUAUGCUUCCGCCACACAGCCGCGAGCUUCAUGG